rnacentral:lncRNA from 1 species
CUUUUCAGUUCUGUCUUCCUGAGGCUGCUGUUUCUGGGCAUGGCCAGGGGAUCUUCAGACUUUACAAACCAGUUGUGCAGAGCCAGGCAUUUCAAUAAGGAACAAAAUGCUGAGUAACAACAUGAAGUCAGAGUGUUGCUUGCCAAGAGCUGGGAGGCCUGGGUGGUUUCCCAAUCUUAAAGAAGCAGAAGGAUAUUAAAGUGAGCCUCCCAAAGGAAAACGUGGAUCUACUUACCAACGCAGAAAAUGAUACACACGGAUUCGAUUUAGGCACGCUACAUUCAAAUGACUUGGAAGAGCAGGUUCUCUGAGCCAGGAUACUAAAGUCCCUGUUUAGGAAAGAGCCACGUUGUAUGUUUACCCUACCACAAAGAUACAGUCAUGUGCCUGGGAAAGAUUGAUGCCAGCUCCAGAAAGGCAUCCGAAUGGUCUAAGUAAUGCCAUCCAUCUGUCAGUAAUAGAUUCAGAAAUGGAAUUCUGGAGGAAAGUGGCUCUGGGAAUUGAACAGUGGCUCAGUGAUGUUGGGGCCACCAAGUCUGCAAUUCUCCCUACCUGUUCUUCAUGGUUGUAAGAUGACUGCUGCAAUUCUCGGCAUCAUGUGCAUGUUAAUGUCAGGAGGAAGAAAGGAAGAGGGAGCACUGGGAUGUUACAUUCAUUUUGUCAGGAAAAGCAAAGCCUUUCCAGACAGCUCCGAAACUUGCUUACCUCUCAUUGGCCAGCACCAUCACUUGACCACUUGUCCACUCCUAGCUGCAAGGAAAGUGGCAAAGUAGAAGGUAUUUGAGAAUGUCUGCUGGGUUAGCCAAAACAAUAGUGACUUCUACACCCAAUUUUCUGGGCACUGCAGAAGUAUCCUUGAGUCCUAUGUGAUCAGAGGGAGAGCAAACCUCAAUAAUGAAACAGAUUCAAUUUCCAUCACCCAGUGAGACACCAUGGGAUUAGAAUAAAUUUUUAAAAAAACAAAUUGAAAAAAAUGCAUUUUUAAAACAACAAAAUCAGAAAGGAUGAAAGGUGAUAUUUCUAGCAUAUCAGUUUGUGGUGGUAAAUUAAUUACCUUAUACAAAGGCCUCAGUGACUUUCUUCUCCUUACCUAACGAAUCAUCUUUAAAAUAAGUAAAAUAAAGAAACAAGAGCAGCAGCAGAUGCUUCCUAAAAAGAAGUUACCAAAUCUGUUCACCACAAACCUGAGAAUUCAACUGUGGACAUUUGGACACCAGCAAUGAACAUGAAACUCAGCUUAUGAGGCAUAUUUGGCUAAAGGUCAAGGUGACUUAAAGUUCAUCAUAGGACAUCUACAAUUUGCAAAGCAGGUGACUGGAUAUGGACUCCUUCCAAGUCUCAUUUAAUUGGAUAAUGCCUACGUUUUAAGUAUCAGAAGUGAGUCUUUCUCUAUUAAAUGAAGUCAGUUCCACUAAAACCUAAAUCUUGUUUGGCAGGCACUCCAUGUUUCUUAAUUUUUAUUCCAUGCUGUAUAUUCUUUUAGACUUGAUUUUCACUUUUUUUUCUUUUUUCCUGUACAUUUAUCUUUGCUGUGAAACAAAGUGCCCUGCUUUGAAGGACAGGUUUGUGGGCUGCUGGUGGUGAGACAACAGCAGUCCUUCCAAGUCUUCCUCCCAUCACUCUGUUAGCUCUCCCUUUGUUUUUAAUUAGCAUUACACCAGUUAAUUCUGUUAUCUCUUAACCCUGGUUCUGCAUCCUCUUCUUCUUUUCUAUUCCUUACUCCGCUCCUGUUUUUUCUUGUUCUGCUUUUCCAAGAAAUGUCUUGUCUCCUCAUCAGUUGACUGUCUUCUCUUUCCAGAGGGACCAUAAAGGUGCCAGCCUAAGGAACACGUAAAACGUGGGAACAGACAAACAAGCUGCUGCCUAUUACAGAGAUAGAUAAUUAACUUUGGACCAUUACAUGCAAUUCAUCAGCUUAUCUUUUUCAAACUUUAUAUAAGAAGUCAUUUCCCAAUGGUAACCACUUGCCAGCUGCAACUUUGACGCAUAUUAUCAGGAUAGGUGAGAUUGAUGGGGGCCCUUUGAACUCUUCCCAGGGAAUUAUCUUUAUAAUGUUACAGUUUUCUCUAUAGCAUGGUCAUAUUGUUAACAUUGGUUAUAAGGUCAUAUGGUUAGUAUGGUUAGUAUUGGUGGCUCACAGCUGUAAUACCAGCACUUUGGGAGGCCAAGGUGGGAGGAUCACUUGAGCCCUGGUGUUCAAAACCAGCUCUGGAAACAUAGCAAGACCUUGUCUCUACAAAAAAAAAUUAAAUAAAUUAAAAGAUUAGCUGGGCAUGGUGGCACAUGCCUGUAGUCCUCACUACUUGGGAAACUAAGGUGGGAGGAUCCUUUGAGCUUGGGAGGUUGAGGCUGCAGUGAGCUGUGGUUGUGCCAUGGCACUCCAGCCUGGGUGACAGAGUGAGAGCCUGUCUCAAAAAAAAAAAAAAAAAAAAAAAAAAGUACCUGUAAGGUCUUUGGGAUUUUGAAGAUGAAAGGUGUUGCAUAAAUUGAAUGAAUUCACUUAGAGAGAUAGAAGGCAACUACAGGGAAUAUUACGUACAUCAUGGAGCGGAAAGCACUAAGGCCUGUGGAAUUAUUCUCAGUGACACGUCGUUGAGGGCAGUGGUCCACAUGUUUUGAACAUGGUUUCUCCCAGGUGAAAAGGAUGAGUAAUUUGUUCUCCUUCACAUGUGUGUAUGUAGGUCUUAUACACAGCAGAUUUGCCACAAAACAAAUGAAGAUUACACUUUGGGCCCCUCUCUCACAUGAGCCCCUUCCAAAGUUCUGUUUGCUAAUUUUACAUUUUGUAAUUUCUUAUUAUUUUUCUUAAAGAAGCCUCCUCCAAUUGCAUAAACUUCAAGCCUCACAAAAUUUGGAUCCAUACCUGAGCCAACAUACAAUACAAUUUUCCAUUUCUAACUUUUAGUUGUACCUAGUGUUUUAUUGGAAAUGAUCAAGUACAUGAGUGGUGUCUUUUUAAAAAAUUUACUUUAUUUGCUUCUCUAGCUUCAUCGUUAGUUAGGCAGUUAAAUCUAACCAUUUGGAGGUAUUUUCAUAUAACCUCCAUUGAGGACAAUUUGGCAAUAGCUUUUAAAAUUAUAAAUAUAUUUGUACAGUUAUAAGCUGCCAUAUCUAUAAAACUAUUUGAUAGACAAAAGUUGAAAACCCUCCAAGAGCUCAUCAAUAAAAGAUUAAAUUAAUUAUGAUACAUCCAUAUGAGCACUGAGCAGCUGUGAAAAAAAUGAGGAAGUAAUUCCUGUGCUGAUAUGGGAAGACUUCCAAGACAUGUUGUUAAGUACAGAAUGGUGUAUACAGUAUGCUAUAUAGUGUGGUAAAAGGUUUAGGGAUAAGCAUUUAUAUUUAUAACUGUUUAUAUUUACAUAAAGUAAUUCUGAAAGGAUACAAAAAAGCUAACAAAAGAGAUUACCUGUGGUAGUGUGGGGCUUGGGGAUUGGAUGGGUGAGAAACAGUAGUGGAAAUGAGAUAUUGUACAGUUUAAGGCAUUAUACACCUAUAAAAACAUGGGAAUGUAUUACCUACUCAAAAAGUGAAAUUAAGAGAGAUACAAGAAACUGUUUGGAUGUUCCUUCCCGUUUCAAUGUAUCUAUAUUUUUUCAGCCCUCAAAGUUAUUAUAAAUGUCAUUAUAAUAACUUCAUAAAGCUUCCCCUAUAAUGAGAAUCUUACCAUUCUCCUAACUCCAAUAGCACUGUAAUCCACCUCUGUUAGGACACAUCACUCUUCAUCAUGUGUGAUUAUUAUUUGCAGAUAUCAUCUUCAAGGCUCUUCUCUAUUUACCACCUGCCAUUCUUGUUCUCACCUCUACAUGACCUUCACAUUUUAUUUCUCUCGGUUUUUUGGACAAGCUACAUUCCCUUCCACAGAGAAGGCUUCCCUGACCCCUUUCACUUGGUUGGAUUACCUUGCUAUUCUUUUCUAUCUUUGUACAUUCCUUUUCAAAAUACUUAUCUCCCUUGUUGUUACCUAUAAUGUCUGUCUUCUUUACUCAAGAGUCUAGACAAAAAGCUCCACGCCAGCCUCGGCUGUGUUUGUAUUGUUUACGUCUGUGUUCCUAGUGCUUAAUAAAAUACCUAGCAAGGGUUAAUAAGUACUUGUUGACUGGAAGGGAAUGACUUCCUUCCCUUACUAGAGAGUGAUUUCCUUACAGGCGAGAUGUGUCAACCUUCUAUAGCCCACAUAAAAUAAAGGACAAUAUCUCCUAUUGGAUAAAAGACAAAAAAAAAAAAAAAA